GCUCAAAAACAUUUAUCCGCUGAUUUACGGAAGUCUCUUUCACAAUCCCGGCGCUGUUCCUGGGGGCUUGACCUGCACAGAAGAACAACAGGUGGAAGAACGGUGACAAGUGCAGCUGCAGCAACAGCUCCACCUCGACUCGUCGUCAAGAAAAACAGUAAGAGUCGUAUGGAAGUCCUUUGCGUUCGAGGCGGAUCAUCAGGGAUUAAUAAUAUGUUGUCAAAAACCAAUAUGCACACGGUGCCAUCAAACUUUUCAAACGAAAGGAGGAAACACUUCCAACUUAGUGAUGCACCGCAAAGACAGACAUCUAGAUUUAUGUAAAAAAUUCAAGUCUCAGCCAGAGGAGGAUGUCGAUCAGGAGAGGCAGGAGCAAAGUCAGCAAACACACAGCCAACCAUAUCAGACGCUUUUUUGUAACGUUAAUUGUUAUUUCUUUUUAUUAUUAUAUAUUUUAUUAUUAUAUUAUUUCCAUAUGUUUUCAUAUCUUGGUCGGGUACUGCAAUUGGUAAUUUGCUAUCAUAACAAGUCGAUUGUAAUUAAGCACAGUAUUGUUUCUUUUAAGUACUUGAAGGCUAAAUGCCACUGUUGUUGUUUGUAAUGUUCAGAUGUUUUUAACAAAAGGAAUGUAUGUUGAAGUACAUGAGAUUUAUUGUUUUGUUUUUUGCCAUCAUAUUCAGUAUCGAGAAUCGUGUAAUUUCACUAGUAUUGGUAUUGACUACUAAAUUUCUGGUAUCGUGACAUCCCUACCUACAAACACUGAGACAGGAAAACGAGUUUUUGUACAAAGUCAGUCAUGCAGUGAACACAGUUAAGCAUAUUGUGAUAAUAAAUAGCAUGCAGAGGAGAUUGCAUUUACAUUUUGGGUGCUGACUUGGGCGUAAUGUUCUUCAGGUGGUUAUGAGAUAAAGAUAGGCCACUUCUACCAUUGUUUCUUUAUCUUUCAAGCUAAAAGGAUUUGGCUAACAAGCUCUGUGAUAAACUGACUGUCAGCCGUGCACAAUACAAACUCUAAAAUGUUUCAGAUGAUGUUCAUAAAACAGAUUAACCAGAUGUUCCAGCAUCUGUGGAAUAAAACUAUUUUCAUAUCCCCCCCACUUCGAUAUACAAUAUUUAUUAAUAAUAAUGUUUCUUUCAGUAUUUUGGCAUAGUCUUGUUUUUUGAGGGGUCUGAUUCAAUGUUCAAUUCCACAACAAAUGCUUACAUCAUAAUACAUGUAUCACUUGUCAUCUUCAAAUUAAGACCUUUAUCCAGCUGACUGACACCAGACUGACUCCGUUAAAUCCACACCUGGAUUAUUGAAGACAUCAUGCUAAUGCUUUAGCAAUUACACUUAACAUAAAACAUAAAAUAUUUGACACACAAGGGUCAGACAGGCUAAUGGAUCAAGGAUGGCUUUGGUUAUAAUUUGGCAGAAUUAAAAAUAAUGGUAAUAAUUAAUAUAUUAAAUAAUAUGUUGACACACGCAUGUGUUGACUUGAUCAUGAUCAUCACUCAUAUAUCAUUUCACACCAAAUGCAAGAUAAGAGGUUUUAUAUUGUAUAUUAAAUUACAACCCACAGGAUGCCCACGCUGGUGUUUUUGUGGUCUUUCACUCACAGAACAAAACCACUAUGGCAGGGAGCCUGUCGUCCCAAGAAAAAUGUCACAAUAGGUCAUAAUGUCAGUCGCCAAAAACAACGUAUAGUUACGUCUGAGUGACAGACACCUGGAGAAGCGGUGCAGUUGUCAUGGUUCUGUCCCAGUCUGGCUCUGUGUCCCUCCACCAGUCCACCAGAUGCCCUCAGUUUCUCAGUUCUCUGUUUGUUGAACUGGACUGAGUGGCAGUAGGCUCUUGAAGGUGAAAUUGAAGUUCGCUUUCACACUUGUUGUGAAAUGUGACUGAGGAGUUUGACACAUCUAGUUAGAUUUCUAAGAUGCAGCAGUUUAUACAGCAGGCAGUUCAUUUCACACGUCUUCUGUAUUUACAUUCAGGGCAUUUAGCAGAUGUUCUUAUCCAGAGACUGGCAGGUGUUUGUUCAAUGGCUGGACUCUCUGUAACUCAUCCUCAACGCAUUAUGAAAAAACGAGUUUGUUAACAUUUGUUUAUGUAGAUUUGAGUAAUUUGCAUUUACAGCCUGUGUGUGACAUGUUAGAAGAACUAGAAGAAUUGUUGUUAGAAGAAUUAUGAAAUUGUAAAUAAGAGUUUGCAGGUCAUAGUGUACUUUUGAUUUUAGUUUUUUCUUGUAUGUUCUUAGAUGGGCUUAUUGGAUAUAUAAGAGGAUUGGGUUUUUGGUUUUCUGUUUGCUCUGAGUUUUUCCUCCUGUCUGUGUUCCCAGCCUGCUUUUCUCUCCACACCUGCUCUGCAUCAGUCUCGCUAGCCCUGCCCUGCUCCCUGUGUCUUCCCCAGCCAAUGAGGUCCCAGUCUGCCCUUGUGUCUUGCCACCUGUUCCUU